CCAUUGCCAUUUUCAUCAACCAAAAAUCUCUUAGACCUUUGAAAUCUCUCUUCCAUCAACCAAAAGCUUUACUUUGAAACCCAACUUUGAAAUGGCAGAACUCAACUAUACAUUGCUUGUGAUCUUCCUCUCUUUCUUCUUCUCAUUUCUUGCCACCCCAGUUGAGCCUUCAUCAUUGACAAGGCACAGAAACCCUAAGGCGAUGACCUACAUAGAGUCCUCUUGCAAAGGCACCCUCUACCCUGAUCUCUGCAUCCGUUGCCUUUCCCAAUAUGCUAAAUCCCCCUUAAAUGGCCCACAACACUUGGCACAAUAUGCCCUGUCAGAGAGCCUCUCUAGGGCACUGCGCACAAAAGGGUACCUUUUGGAAGUGGCAAAGGAGCUCCAAGCCGUGAAGAGCAACAAAAAAGAGUACCUAACAGUGCAAGACUGUGUGAACCAAAUCAGUGAUAGUGUGGAACAAAUUAGCCAAGCCAUGAAAGAACUGCGUAGCUUCAACAAACAUGAUUCAAGCAUGAAUGAUAACAUGUUGUGGCACAUAAGCAAUGUUGAGACAUGGGUGAGCACAGCUUUGACAGAUGCCAGUAGUUGUGUGUACUCAUUUCCUGGGAAUAGAAUGAGUAAGAGAGUNGCUGCUAUUAAGGUUAAGGCUAAGAAUGUUGCAGAAGUUACAAGUAAUGCUCUUUUCUUGUUUCAUAGAUAUGCAUCUACAUACCAGAAAGCAGCAACUAAAAUCAGCAAGAAGCCCUAGAAGUUAAUGAUCACAGGCUAUUACCCUCCACUGUUUUCUUCAUGUAAAUGUUUUUUCUUUGGAUGGUUUAUCACCCUUUUUAAAUUUUAUGUAAUUAAUCUACACUUACAUAUAUUGUUUAAGUUGGAGAAAUGAUACCAACUGCUUGAAGUGCCCUAAAUAUUUUCAUAUUUAUAAAUUUUUUAGCCGAUAAAAAAAACUUGAUAAUUCAUUUUUGGAAUAAUAUGUUCAUUAUUAAAACAAUUUUUUAUAUUGGUAAUGAAAAAGAAGUAUGAAAGAUAAAAUUGUGAAUGUAAAAGUUUAUUAGGUAUAUUAAAUUUAACCUAUACGUAUUUGGUAGUUGGUAAGAUGAAGUGCAAAAAGUUUAACAUAUUCAUGGAAGUUAGUAAUUGACUAAUAAUAUUAUGACACAUUUUUAUAUUUAUUUGACACAAAAUAUAAAGAUAAAAUAGUUCAAAAAGUGUAAAGUUUUGUAAUUUUUCAAGAAAGAAGAGAGUAAAAAGUAAAUAAGAGUAGUGUUAAAUGAAUGUAAAAAAUUUAGGUGUGUCAAAAGAAUAAUUUCUCUUAAUAAUUUGGUGGAUUAACUUCUCUUUUUAUAAUAUUUUAAAAGUAAAAUGAAUAUAUUUUGUAGCAGUAAAUGGUAAAUUUAAAUUAAAACUAAACUCUGAAGUUAAAAGAAAUAAUUACUCUCAAAUAAAAUAAGAAUAUGUGAAUUAAUAAAAUUAAAUACAAGUUAUGUGGGUUAAUGUAUUAACUUUGUCAGGCUGAUGGGUUCUAAUAAUAUACUACCAAUAAUUUCUCGUAGAAUAUUUCAUCAAAUUAAGCUUAACUUUUUAACAUAACAAUGCUUAAUUAAUCUCUGUUUUGAAAUAUUUCUAUAAUAUUUGUACUUACAUUUCCAGUGACCACUGUGGCCUUCAUUAGAGUUUCUAAGGUGAAGAGUUAGUAAGGAAUAAAAUUAUUCGCUACUAUUAGUGUUCACUGUGCAUGAAAAGAUAAAUUUAAUAUAUUGCUAAUCUUCCAUGUAAUAAAAUAAUAAAUUAUUUUCAACCUUAAUUGAUCGAUAAUGUUUUUAUUGGACAAAAAUAGCAUCUUCUUCAGUUGCAAAUUCAUGUUUAGUUGAAAAUCAAAGCCUAAAUCUUGAUAAAGGAACAUUAUAGUGUAGAAUUACAUUGUGCUAACAAAGUUUUGUUCAAUAUUGACUUUUAUUAAACUAUCUAUUUUAACUCAAAAUCAUUCAUUUAUAUAUUAUAUGACGGGUAAGUAAUUAAGAUAGUGGAAGGAAAGCCAAAUCAUAUAAAACGAUUUAAAUUUUCUUGAGUUUCUAGAUACGUGAGCAAUUUGAAUUAGGAUACAUGAUGGUAAUCACCUUUGAACUUUUAUUAACAUCACAUAAUCUAAUAGAAACCCAAAACAAAAACCUACGUGUUUCUGCCGGUUGAAUACUCCUAACUUCCAAACAAUUUGUCUUUCAUUGCUCCUAACUUUUGUCUGGUGAGUCUUCAAGAUGGUCCAUCUCAAAUUGCUCAGAUGAUCUCAGCAAAGAAGACACUUUAAAUUAGACAGGGCUCGAAUGCAAGAGUAAUAAAUACAAUAUUCAAUGUAACGUUUUAUCUUGUUUGGAUUUUCUAUUUAUAUAAAUUGUAAUUAAAUUUUACUUACCACUAACUUAAUUAUGGUCCAAUCAUACCUUAAACAUGAUUACUGGUCUGAUUUGCAUUAAUUCGUUUUAGGUUUAGAUGUUCAACCGAUUGGUUGUAUCAACAACGGAUGCCAUACGCUUACUUAGGAAAAUCUGUUUAAAGUAAUAACAAAGAUUCCAAGAUAAGACUGGUCAACUUCGACCGAAAUGUUCUACCAAUAUGAUCAAUCAGUGUUUAUUAUUGGUUUGGGAUAUUGCUGUCUUGGUCGAUUGGUCAAUCGAUCCAUACUAUACACUAUACAUAAUUAUCCUCAAUUUCAAUUUAAUUAUUUAGUUAUCCAAUAACUAAUCAUAUAAUGUUUGUCAUUAGAACUGGACAAAAAAUAGUUAAUUAUACUAUAUUAUACUAAAACGAACUGAACCAUUUUUACUAUAAUUUAAAUAUACUGUUUUAUGGUUCAGUUUUUAAAAACUGAACUUAAUAAAUUUUCGGUUCAGUUAAUUGUACUGACUUACGUCCUAAAAUAACUAUAGUUUUUUUUUAUUAUUUUUUUCCUUAUGUAAUUAUUUACAAGUAAAUUUAUUAAAAAAAAUUGGUCUACUUUGUUACAAAAGUGAAAAAUCGUUGAGUUAAUUUAUCUUUAAAUUUAAUUCUUAUAUAUUAAUUCAAAUAAAUUAAAUUUAACUAUUUGAUUGUUAACAUUCUUUUUUAACAUAAGAUGAAGUUCAUAUAAAUUGUACUAAAUAUAUUAAUUUUAUUUUACAUUCUAUUCAUAUAUUUUUUAAACUAGUAGGAUUGCAUUAUUUUUAUCCAGAAAUAUUUAUGGAAGAAAAAUUUUAAAAAAAAAAGUUUCUCUUUUCUAUAAACUACAUGUAAUUUAUAUCUUAAAAAUUAAUGAGAUGAAAUACAAAUUUAUACAUAAACUAAUUAAUUUAUAUACUUAGGUGGUUUUUUUUUUCUUUCUAAUAAGAGUAUUUUUCCUUUAAAAUAAGUAAAAAUAGUAUAGUAAUUAAAAUUAGUAUAGUUUACAAUUCAGUUAGUAGUUUAGUUCAUUUUAUAUUGUAGUUUAGUACAAUUUACAAUUCAGUUAGUAGUUCAGUUCAGUUUAUAUUGUAGUUUAGUACAAUUUAGUACAGUAGAGUAGUAGAGUUCAGUUGUCUGAAUUAUUUUACAGUUCAGUUUAAACAAAUUAAUUUUUAGUUCAGUACAGUUUUUAGUAGUGCAGUACAGUUCCAUUUAUCUAUCCCUAAUCGUCAUAGUUUUUAGUUAUCCAAAUUGUAAGCAUAAUUAUGUUUUUUCUUACUUCUUAAUCUUCUAAAUCACAUGUCUUCUAUUAUUCCCCUUCUUUUCCAAGGGACAUAGAACCGCAAGUGUAGCCUUAAAAAGUUCCAUGUUGCACAUUGAUAUCCCUACUCAUUCAAGUUUCAUAUUAAUUUUUCCUUACUAAAUAAGCAUCAUAUAUAUUUCAUAUCCCUUUCCACUAGCCACUUUCCGUGGAAUUCUUAAGAUCUUCAAUAAAAAAGUCUAACCCUAAUUUUAAACGUGUAAUCACUAAAGUUUGAACAACAUAUUUACUUCACACACCACCGCCCUUAAUCAUUUAAGAUAAACAAGUUUCUUAAACUAGGUUUUACUCCAAACAAGGUAUAUUUUCUUGAUUACAUUUAUGACAAGAAUGUCUUACUAUCCACACAUAAGAUAAUAACAUAAUGUAAUCAAUGCUAGUUUUAUCAUCUUUGAUUUUUCAUUUGACCGACCAGCAAGAUUUUUAAUUUUAUUUCAAUCCUAUGCAUGUGAAGUUAUGAUGUGAAGAACUCUAUAUAAGCACCACACCCCAUUGCCAUUUUCAUCAAUCAAAAAUCUCUUUUAGACCUUUCAAACCUAAAAGCUAAACAAAAGCUUCAAUUCAAACCUAACUUUGACAUGGCUCAACUCAACCUCGCAUUUUUUCCUAUGAUCUUCCUCUCUUUCUCCUUGUCAUUUCUUGCCACCCCAGUUGAGCCAUCAUCAUUGACAAGGCACAGAAACCCUAAAACAAUGACCUACAUAGAGUCCUCUUGCAAAGGCACCCUGUACCCUAAUCUCUGCAUCCGUUGUCUUUCCCAAUAUGCUAAAUCCCCCUUAAAUGGCCCACAGCACUUGGCUCAACAUGCCUUAUCAGUGAGCCUCUCUAGAGCACUGCACACAAAAGGGUACCUUUUGGAAGUGGCAAAGGAGCUUCAAGCCAUCAAGAGCAACAAAAAAGAGUACCUAACAGUGCAAGACUGUGUGAACCAAAUCAGUGAUAGUGUGGAACAAAUUAGCCAAGCCAUGAAAGAACUGCGUAGCUUCAACAAACAUGAUUCAAGCAUGAAUGAUAACAUGUUGUGGCACAUAAGCAAUGUUGAGACAUGGGUGAGCACAGCUUUGACAGAUGCCAGUAGUUGUGUGUACUCAUUUCCUGGGAAUAGAAUGAGUAAGAGAGUAGCUGCUAUUAAGGUUAAGGCUAAGAAUGUUGCAGAAGUUACAAGUAAUGCUCUUUUCUUGUUCCAUAGAUAUGCAUCUACCUACCAGAAAGCCACAAUGAACACCAGUAAUUCCUAACUUGGAACCUAACUUUGUUUAUCUUGUUACCACCAUUGUUGUUCAUGUGUAUGACACAUGUUUUUUCUUUGGGUGGGUUAUGAUUCCUGUUAUUUAUGGUGUAAUCAUGAUAUUGAUAAAUUAAUUUGAUCAUUAUUUAUGUUUAUAUGUGUGUUAUUAGCAAAUUGUUAUUGAUUAUCAUCAGGG
rnacentral:lncRNA from 1 species